rnacentral:rRNA from 1 species
AGAGCGAACGCUGGCGGCGCGCCUAAAACAUGCAAGUCGAACGAGAAACCCGGGCUUGCCCGGGUGGACAGUGGCGAACGGGUGAGUAACACGUGAGGAACCUGCCCCGAAGACCGGGACAACACCGGGAAACCGGUGCUAAUACCGGAUACCUUCACCGGAUCGCAUGGUCUGGUGAAGAAAUGGAUUCCGCUUCGGGAUGGCCUCGCGGCCUAUCAGCUAGUUGGUGAGGUAACGGCUCACCAAGGCGACGACGGGUAGCUGGUCUGAGAGGAUGUCCAGCCACACUGGGACUGAGACACGGCCCAGACUCCUACGGGAGGCAGCAGUUAGGAAUCUUGCGCAAUGGACGAAAGUCUGACGCAGCGACGCCGCGUGCGGGAUGAAGGCCUUCGGGUUGUAAACCGCUUUCAGCAGGGACGAAUUGACGGUACCUGCAGAAGAACGCCCCGGCCAACUACGCGCCAGCCAGCCGC